rnacentral:rRNA from 1 species
UACCAGCACCCCGAGUGGUCGUGACGAUUAUUGGGCCUAAAGCAUCCGUAGGCGGUUCUGCAAGUCCCCCGUUAAAUCCAGCUGCUCAACAGAUGGGCCGCGGAGGAUACUACAGAGCUAGGAGGCAGGAGAGGCAAGCGGUACUCAGUGGGUAGGGGUAAAAUCCGUUGAUCCAUUGAAGACCACCAGUGGCGAAGGCGGCUUGCCAGAAUACGCUCGACGGUGAGGGAUGAAAGCUGGGGGAGCAAACCGG